ACUCUUUAGUUAUGAGGACAACCAACCCAUAUGGCACACAACGACCUAUGCUCGAUAAACGUUGUCGUCCUUGGUAACAACGUAUCAUUUGGUCGUGAACAGGUUUAAGGACUAAGCGACAAAUCCUCUUUUGUCGAGUCUAAAUAGUCCUAAGGACUUCACCACAACACAGGAGUUCAUUAGAAGAUGAAAUAUUUGUGAUGAAAAAAUACCAAAAUAAUUUUUAUUUAUUUAUAAUUCAUGUACU
rnacentral:lncRNA from 1 species